rnacentral:lncRNA from 1 species
GUUGAAAUGCGUGUGUAUCGUUAAUAGUAAUAUCUGAUGUCUUCAAGUCUCGUAUAAUUAUUUGGUCUCAUACAAUUAAAUAAACAACUUCCAACUUGCUCAAAUUUUAACAUGACAUGUACAAUAAGAAGCAAAAUAAGUAAACAAGAAUGCUAUUUUUCGGGUGGCGGAGAAAGGACUCCGGGAGGAGGCGCUGGUGGUGGUGGUGGUCCAUAAUACUGAGGAAUCGUGGCGGCUUCGCGGCGGCCUCGUGAUCUACCAAACAGGUAACUAGCAAGGGCUGUAAUGAGGAAGAAGAGGAUCAAUGGCAGUGAUAUAACAAUCACGUAACCCAUUGAUUCAAGGUUUUCUUUAAAUUUCCUCUUUUCCUGCCAAAAUUAUUGCACGCACAUAUUAAAACAUAAGUAACAGGUAUACAUAUAAUAGACACUGAUUACACACGAUUAUACACAUAUUAUAUAUUAAUUAUAUAUGUAUUAUACAUCCACCGGUUACUGUUAGUUUAAACGGUUGGAUGGACGGCUAUUUGGGUUAAUUCUUUUUUUUUAUGCACAUUAAUUUACUAAUAUAAUUUGUUCAAUAUUUGCACAAAUUAAAUCACUGGCAUGUUGCGUACUUAAAUAUCUAGGUCACUUAAACUAAGUUUAGAUAACAUUACAAAAGAAUUUAGAACUUAAAGUACUCCCUAUAUAUGUAUUGUAUAAUAUAUAAAAAUAACAGAAUUCACCAGAUUUCUCUAAAUCCUAAAUUCGCUAUUGUUCAAGAGUAAUAUCAAGGUAUAAUUAUGGGCAGCUUGAACCAUUAAUUUAUAUGUUAACAGAAUAACCUAAUAAAAAUAUUUAAAAUAUAGCCACUUAACUUCGCAUACUCUUUAAUCUUGUGUCGGUUAAGCAAUGAUCUCUCUCCCAAUCUGAUAUAACCCAAAUGAGGAUUGAUUCAAAUUGAAGCAACCCACUUCCAACCGAGAGGUUGUGAGUUCGAGUCUCACCAAGAGCAAGGUGGGAAGUUCUUGGAGGGAAGAAUGUCCCUAUUUGAAAACAACCUCUCUAUCCAAGAAUAGGGGUAAGGUCUGUGUACAUACUACACUCCGCAAACCCCACUAAGAAGGAUUAUACUGGAUUGUUGUUGUUAUUGAAUCAACAAAAAUGAAAGAAGAUCAACAGAAAAAAAGGAAAUUAAAGUAAAAUAGAGACGUACCUCGUUCUGAUCACAAGAAAAUAAACUGACCGAUCACCUAGUACUGAAACAAAAAACUGAACUGUUUCUGACUUUCCUUUUUAGGUUUUGGCUGUGUUAGCUUAGGAUGUUUGUGUGGAAAGAUUCGUGGAUGAUAAGGUUGAUGACGUGUUUCAAUAUAAAGGAUUUCUGUACGAGUAUAAUAUGACAGCUUUUAGUUUGUCCUUUUUUAUUCUUUCUUUAUAUUCUGUUGUUUUUAUAUAUGGUCAUUUUGUUUCUUCCUUCCUUUACUUUAGGUAAGAUGUCUAGGCUACUCUCUAAGCAUUUCGGUUUUGGGUUUGCAAAGUCCAACCCACAAUAGCAUGUAAAAAAAUAGUAUGAUAAACGUAAAUAUAAAUUUUAUACUGUUAUAAAUAUAUUAUUUAUGGAUAUUUAUUUAGUACUUCGUUGUAAAUAAGUUUUUUGAAGCUUAUCACUUCGAUACUUGGUUAUGGAUAAAUAUUACCGUCGAUAAAAGAUUAUCCAUAUCUGGUAUAGUAGCAGCUUACACAGCAACUUGUGUAGCAGCUUACACAGUAGCUUGUAGUAGCUUACACGGCAGCUUACAGUAGCAGCUUACAAAGCAGCUUGUAGUAGCUUACACAGCAGCUUGUAGUAGCUUACACAACAGCUUCUUUUUCUGUAGAAAACACUUCAGUUCAUUAUGUACAACAGUUUGAAAUUCGAAUAACAAAUUUCUCUCUCUCUACUUGUCUUUGGUUUCUUUACUUUAAGUCUUUAUUUUAUAACACGUUAUCAGCACGAGACUCUGCCAUUUUUAGCACUUACUGCGAAUCUAAUUUCUAUUUCAGUGUUCAUCUCUGAUGUAAGGCGACGCCCUUACGUCCGUGGUUAGAUCUUGUUCAUUCCGAGCAUCAUAAGUCAGGUUAUAUCCUUGAGAUGAUGAACUUUUCUUCGUGGCAAUAGUGAUGUGGAUAUCACUUGCAUCUGGAGAGGCCAAAUUUGUGUAAUGUAACUUGAGCUUUUUUCUUAUAUUUGAUUUAAUAUAUUUAUUAUCGCUUGCUUGAUUAUAUGCUACAUAUACAGUACCUAUUUUGGUAUUCAUUUUCAUCAUAAUUAUCUUAAUAAAUGAUUACAAAGUGGAUAACAUUGUUAGAUCCAUUUAAACUCCAGCAGAG